rnacentral:tRNA from 2 species
GUGUAGCUCAGCUGGAUAGAGCGUCUGGCUACGGACCAGAAGGUCGAGGGUUCGAAUCCUUUCAC